rnacentral:rRNA from 1 species
UACGUAGGUGGCAAGCGUUGUCCGGAUUUAUUGGGUUUAAAGGGUGCGUAGGCGGCCCUGUAAGUCAGUGCUGAAAUAUCCCGGCUUAACCGGGAGGGUGGCAUUGAUACUGCAGGGCUUGAGUGAAGUCGAGGUAGGCGAAAUUGACGGUGUAGCGGUGAAAUGCUUAGAUAUCGUCAAGAACACCGAUAGUGAAGACAGCUUACUAGACUUCAACUGACGCUGAGGCACGAAAGUGUGGGGAUCAAACAGG